UGAAGCCGGAAUUGCUAGUAAUGGCAGGUCAGCAUACUGCCGUGAAUACGUUCCCGGGCCUUGUACACACCGCCCGUCACACCAUGAGAGUUGGGAAUACCCGAAGCCUGUGAGCUAACAUUAAGAGGCAGCAGUCGAAGGUAGAAUCAAUGAUUGGGGCGAAGUCGUAACAAGGUACC
rnacentral:rRNA from 1 species